ACGGGGCUCGAACCCACCCACCGUGAGAUCAUGACCUGAACUGAAGUCGGUCGCUCAACCAGACUGAGCCACCCAGGUGCCCCUAGAGGACAGAGUUUUGAUGAAGAGCUUGAGCUUCCAGAGCAAACUGAAGAUGGAGGCAGCACUGUCCCCUGAAGGCCACAGAAGGACCAUGCCACCUGGCACAUUUGCGAAGAGCCUCCAGAGAAAUGGGAAUGUGAACUGGAAAGGUAUCCGGUGUUUUACAAGAUAAUACAUCUUUACCUGCAUACACAUAAGGUGCAAAAUGGAGAAAGUCUCAAGACCACACUGUCUUGGGACGAGAUUGUAAAGAUUUCCCAUCAUUUCAGGUUUUGGAUGCUGCUAUGGAUGGAACUGUCCCCCAACCCCCGCAAAUUCCUAUGGGGAAGCCCUAGCCCUCAAUGUCCCCGCACUGGAGGCAGGGUCUUGAGGUAAUUAAGGUUAAAUGAAGUCACAGGGUGGGGCUCUGAUCCGAUAGAGAGAGGUAACUCUCCUCUCCCUGCCCUGCAGAGACACAGAAAAAAGGCCCUGUGAGGACACAGCCAUCUAUAAGCCAGGAAGAGUCCUCACUAUGAACGGAACUGGCUGGGACCCUCAUCUAGGACUUCUACUCCCCAGAACUGUGAAAACAUAAAUGUCUGUUGUUUAA